GAGGAGAGAUUUACUCCUAUGCGUCACCGACACGGGGCUGGAAAUCUAUUGAGGUAACGCCAACCUACGUCGCAUCGUCCCUCGUCAUGUUUCUACAAUGGUUCGUGUCGUCGUUAAGUUAUUACGGACUAUCGCUAAACACGGCAUCGUUGGUGGGCGAUGUCUACGUUAACUUUGUACUGUCUGGAGCCGUGGAACUACCCGCUUAUAUACUGUGUAUUCCAUCGAUGGCGUACUUUGUCGCAAGGUCACCA